rnacentral:rRNA from 1 species
GGUGGAUGCCUUGGCGAUUACAGGCGAUGAAGGACGUAGUAGCCUGCGAAAAGCUACGGGGGAGCUGGCAAACGAGCUUUGAUCCGUAGAUAUCCGAAUGGGGAAACCCGGCGCGCAAGCGUCACUCCCACCUGAAUAUAUAGGGUGGGUAGAGCGAACGCAGCGAACUGAAACAUCUAAGUAGCUGCAGGAAAAGAAAUCAACCGAGAUUCCCAAAGUAGUGGCGAGCGAAAUGGGAAGAGCCUGUAUGUGAUAGUCAACUGGUUAGUGGAACGGAAUGGAAAGUCCGGCGAUAGAGGGUGAUAGCCCGUACACGAAAACUGGUUGGUGGUACUGAGCAUACGACAAGUAGGCGGGGCACGAGAAACCUUGUCUGAACAUGGGGGACCAUCCUCCAAGGCUAAAUACUCGUAAUCGACCGAUAGUGAACCAGUACCGU